AUUGAACGCUGGCGGCAGGCCUAACACAUGCAAGUCGAGCGAGCGGCGGACGGGUGAGUAAUGUCUGGAAAACUGCCUGAUGGAGGGGGAUAACUACUGGAAACGGUAGCUAAUACCGCAUACCAUCAGAUGUGCCCAGAUGGGCUUAGCUAGUGGGUGGGGUAAUGGCUCACCUAGUCGACGAUCCCUAGCUGGUCUGAGAGGAUGACCAGCCACACUGGUACGGAGACACUGUCCAGACUCCUACGGGAGGCAGCAGUGGGGAAGAUUGCACAAUGGGCGCAAGCCUGAUGCAGCCAUGCCGCGUGUAUGAAGAAGACCUUCGGGUUGUAAAGUACUUUCAGCGAGGAGGCGUUACUCGCAGAAGAAACACCGGCUAACUCCGUGCCAGCAGCCGCGGUAAUAC
rnacentral:rRNA from 1 species